rnacentral:miRNA from 1 species
GCCGGCUUGCGGCUAGUGUGGCGGUGGUGUUGGUUCUGGAAGCCAGAGCGGGCAGGCACAUUCCCUGGACAGGCGGCAGGGCUAUGGUCGCUGGCUCUCAAAGGCCCGCUCCGCUUCGCAGCCCGAUCCUGAGCGCAAGCC